rnacentral:rRNA from 1 species
CAGCCGCCGCGGUAAUACGAACCGUGCGAACGUUAUUCGGAAUCACUGGGCUUAAAGCGCGUGUAGGCGGGCCGCCACGUCGGCCGCUGAAAUCCCCCGGCUCAACCGGGGAAGUGGCACCGAUACGAGCGGCCUCGGGGGGGGUAGGGGGCACUGGAACUUCCGGUGGAGCGGUGAAAUGCGUUGAGAUCGGAAAGAACACCAACGGCGAAAGCACUCUGCUGGGCCGACACUGACACUGAGAGACGAAAGCUAGGGGAGCAAAUGGGAUUAGAUACCCCUGUAGUCCCUGUCUCUUAUA